UACGGGGGGGGCAAGCGUUGUUCGGAAUUACUGGGCGUAAAGGGUUUGUAGGUGGCCCGCUAAGUCACACGUGAAAUCCCUCAGCUUAACUGGGGAACUGCGUGUGAGACUGGCAGGCUCGAGGGCAGGAGAGGAACGCGGAAUUCCAGGUGUAGCGGUGAAAUGCGUAGAUAUCUGGAGGAACACCGGUGGCGAAGGCGGCGUUCUGGACUGUCUCUGACACUGAAGAACGAAAGCCAGGGGAGCAAACGAG
rnacentral:rRNA from 1 species